rnacentral:rRNA from 1 species
GACGAACGCUGGCGGCGUGCCUAAUACAUGCAAGUCGAACGCAGUGGGGACGGGUGAGUAACACGUGGGUAACCUCCCAUCAGAAGGGAUAACACUUGGAAACAGGUGCUAAACCGAUACUGAUGGAUGGACCCGCGGUGCAUUAGCUAGUUGGUGAGGUAACGGCUCACCAAGGCCACGAUGCAUAGCCGAGCUGAUGUGGAGAUCGGCCACACUGGGACUGAGGCACGGCCCCGACUCCUCCGGGAGGCAGCAGUAGGGAAUCUUCGGCAAUGGACGAAAGUCUGACAGAGCAACGCCGCGUAAGUGAAGAAGGUUUUCGGAUCGUAAAGCUCUGUUGUUAGAGAAGCGGUAUCUAACCAGAAAGCAACGGCUACCUACGUGCCAGGAGCCGCGGUAAUAC